rnacentral:rRNA from 1 species
CACCCGUUCCCAUGCCGAACACGGAAGUUAAGCUUCUCAGCGCCGAUGGUAGUUGGGGGUUUCCCCCUGUGAGAGUAGGACGUUGCCAGGC